UACUUGGUUGAUCCUGCCAAGGAAGCACACUUAGGUCAUAGAUUAAGCCAUGCAAGUGUUAGUUCAGGUAACGAAACUGCGAAUAGCUCAUUAAUACGCUCAGAAUCUAUUUGGCGGCGACCAACAGGUCUUAAAUGGAUAGCAGCAGCAACUCUGGUGCUAAUACAUGCGAUUGUUUCUCCAGAUGUGAAUUAUGGAGGAAAAGUUGACCUCAUCAGAGGCACGCCAUUCGACUGAGUGACCUAUCAGCUUGUACUUAGGGUCUUUACCUAGGUAGGCUAUCACGGGUAACGGGCGGUUACCGUCGGACUGCCGGAGAAGGCGCCUGAGAGAUAGCGACUAUAUCCACGGGUAGCAGCAGGCGCGAAACUUUCCCACUCGAGACUUUCGGAGGAGGUAAUGACCAGUUCCAUUGGUGCCUUUUGGUACUGUGGAUAGGGGUACGGUUUUCCACCGUACCGAAACCUAGCAGAGGGCCAGUCUGGUGCCAGCAGCUGCGGUAAUUCCAGCUCUGCGAGUUUGCUCCCAUAUUGUUGCAGUUAAAACGCCCGUAGUCUGAAUUGGCCAGCAAUGGUCGUACGUAUUUUUACGUUCAC
rnacentral:ncRNA from 1 species